rnacentral:rRNA from 1 species
UGGGGAAUAUUGCGCAAUGGGCGAAAGCCUGACGCAGCGACGCCGCGUGCGGGAUGAAGGUUCUCUGAUCGUAAACCUCUUUCAGAAGGGAAGAAACCGCACUGUGCUAAUCAGCAGUGCCUUGACGGUACCUUCAAAGGAAGCACCGGCUAACUCCGUGCCAGCAGCCGCGGUAAUACGGAGGGUGCAAGCGUUAAUCGGAAUUACUGGGCGUAAAGCGCACGUAGGCUGCUUUGUAAGUCAGGGGUGAAAUCCCACGGCUCAACCGUGGAACUGCCUGUGAUACUGAUUAGCUUGAAGCCGGGAGAGGGUGGCGGAAUUCCAGGUGUAGAGGUGAAAUCCGUAGAUAUCUGGAGGAACAUCAGUGGCGAAGGCGGCCACCUGGACCGGUAUUGACGCUGAGGUGCGAAAGCGUGGGGAGCAAACAGG